UUUGUGUCCGUGUUGGUCCCCUUCCUCCUUCCCCCCAGGUUCCCUUUUAUAGAAGGGUAUUUUGUUACCUGGGAGGUGACAGGGGAUUUGUCCUCUUUCGUGAUAAUUGAGCACGAUUUGGCUCAUUAAUGGCGUAGUGGAGAAUAAGGCCGAAUCAGACCGGAGUCAGGGAGUUGUCGCGGUUGAUCAGACCCGUUGGAGUGGUUGAACCGUCGGCCGUGG
rnacentral:lncRNA from 1 species